UAAAGCGGCGAGUUAAGCGCUGGGAAGAAAUGGCGUUUGAGCUGCCUUUGUAUGAGAGUUUCCUCCUAUGCUGUAACAGCACUGUGGAAAGCGAGUUCUUUCUCAGCUUCCUCAAGGGAUGCAAGGAGGAUGGUAUGUGGCUUCUCGCCCCUUGAGGGGGGGAGCCAGUGCAUUGUGCAUUCCACGUCUAGAGCAAUGGAGGGCACGGCUCAGAACAAAGGGGUCUUUCUGACAUAGCUGCUUUCCGACACUCUCUCCAGCAGUGCACAAUGGUGGUUGGAAAAAGGCGUGCAGUCUAUCGCCUCCUAGGCACAUGGAUGCUCAAUCAUUUGGGAGUCAGCCCAGUUGCUUAAGAGGAAGAUGUAGGCAUUUCGUCUGAGCCGGGUUGGCAAGGUGGAACUGUGGCAGAAUCAGAAGUCCUAAAG
rnacentral:lncRNA from 1 species